rnacentral:rRNA from 1 species
GAUGAACGCUGACAGAAUGCUUAACACAUGCAAGUCAACUUGAACUUCGGUUUGGGUGGCGGACGGGUGAGUAACGCGUAAAGAACUUGCCUCACAGCUAGGGACAACAUUUGGAAACGAAUGCUAAUACCUGAUAUUAUGAUUAUAUGGCAUCGUAUAAUUAUGAAAGCUAUAUGCGCUGUGAGAGAGCUUUGCGUCCCAUUAGCUAGUUGGAGAGGUAACAGCUCACCAAGGCGAUGAUGGGUAGCCGGCCUGAGAGGGUGAUCGGCCACAAGGGGACUGAGACACGGCCCUUACUCCUACGGGAGCCAGCAGUGGGGAAUAUUGGACAAUGGACCGAGAGUCUGAUCCAGCAAUUCUGUGUGCACGAUGAAGUUUUUCGGAAUGUAAAGUGCUUUCAGUUGGGAAGAAAAAAAUGACGGUACCAACAGAAGAAGUGACGGCUAAAUACGUG